CCCAGAAUGCUGGGAUUACAGGUGUGAGCCACCACGCAUGGCCUUAAAAGUUUUAAGUACAUAUAUUUCUAUUUAAGACAGAAAGAAGGUAGUUGAGGUGGUAUAUUGGCCACUCUGCAUUUUUCUGGGCACUGGAGAUAAAAUUGUGACUAAGAAAACUAAUUUAGGUAGAGAAGACAUACAGUAAGUGGAGAAAUAUGAACAAAAGGACUGUUGAUGGUGAAAGGUGUUUCAAAGAAAAUAAUCAGGGUCCCGUAAUAGCAGGUGAAGGGAAGGAGGCUAUUUUAGACGAGAUGGUCAAGAAGGACCUCGGGCAGGAGGUGACUUAGAUCAGGGUUGAAUGACAAGGAGAGGCCAUGUGAAGAACUGAGGGCACAGAGUUCCCAGGCAAAAGGAAGACCCAAAUGGCAUGAAUUUGCUGAGUUCUAAGAAAAGAAAGUUAAUGAAAUUUGAACUUCAUAAGGUGAAUGAGUUCUAGGAAGGAUUUAAAAGGGGCCUUGCCAUAUAGGGCCAUAGUGAGGAGUAUGGUCUUUCUUGGAAGGAAGCCACUGGGCUUUUGAGUUGGGGUGAGAUGCACUCUGUGUAAACAGUGGAUCUUUGAGGGGCAAGAGUGAAGCAGAGAGGCCCCUUAAGAGGACAUAGAGUUGGAGUUUGAGACAGAAAAAAAUGAAUGGGAGGAUCCAGCUUUCUGGCUUGAGCGAGUGAAGGAAGAUGAUGCUGUUUCAGAGAUAAGGAACACUGGAAAGCUGCAGGUUUGAAGAACCUAAGUUUCUUUUCAGAUGUGUUGGGUUGGAGGUAUCUGAUCCAUGCAGGGGCUGUCUGCUACGUGGUGGAACCAGAGAAAACAAGGCUGACUGAAGCUGUGGAGGCGGAUGUGAGAAUGUGUAGUAGGUGGGGCAGAGCAAGAGGAGGGUCUGGGGCCAGGCUCUGAGGAGCCGCACCAUUGAGAGCCAGCUGGGCUGUUCCAUCUGAUGGUGACACCCCGUCUGCCGCUUCACCUUGUUCUGGACACUUUCAUUUCAUAAUGACAGCUCAAAGUCCCAGAAAAAUGGCUCUGUAGCAUAUAGGAACAACCUGAAGCCGGAUCCAGUAUUCUCCACAUCCACUUUCAGUGGAAAGGCUUGAUGUUGAUGAAGUGGGGAAAUUCAGUAUGGCGUAGGUAUAAGGUGAUGUUGACAAUGAUCAUUUUAUUGGGUAUGAUAAUAGCAGUGGUUUACGUAGUGUUUAGAAAUGCUGUGGGACAGACAAAAUCUUUGUCUCCCCUCCCCUCCACCUAAGCAGCGAGUAUUAGUAGUACACGGUUCUUGGGAUGAUGACAGCGGUUGGCUGGCAUCCAGAGUAAGAUAGAGGCAAACAUGCCCUUUAGAUGUUAGACAGCAGACAGUUAAGAUGGUGGGGGAGAAGGUGAGCAGAGAGAGAAGGUCAUCGGGUUUGAGGAGAAUAGAAGAUUUUCAAAUAGGUGAUUCAUAGAUAGGGAAGACUUUGGGUUUCUGGCUUGAGAGGUGGAUGCCUGAUAAAAUGCCGAGCUGGCCUUCCUCAAGUCCUGGGUGGUGACAGUGCCUUGUAACUGAACAGCAGCUGCCCGUUAGGAGCUCUUGGGCCUGCUUCAGUGCCCACCGCUCCAUGUCACCUUGUUGGGUCCCGGAGGAAAACAGGCCUGCCACUGACCAUGGGUCUUGGGGGUGGUUGGGAAUGUGUGGCUGAGGAAAUGGGGAGAAGGCCACCAAGAUGAGGAGGUCCAAGAGCUGCAAGGCCAGGGAUUGUCCAGGUGGGUGCCCAUGAGAGCGCUGGGGUCAGCCGAGUUUAGGGAAAAGGUAGAUGCACAGAAGGAGCCAGCUCCAGCACCGCCCAAUGCUGAGGGUGCCGGCCCUGGUCCCUGCACAUCCGCGUCCAGGCAGGUGGGCGGGAUAAAGCCACAGGGCACAGCCUCAGCCACAGAGCAGCAAAGUGACGAUCACACAGUCGUCCUGAGAGCCAGAGGAUGUCAUGACAGGUAGAAAGUAAAGGCCAUAAAGAAUGACAGGCUAGAGGCAAAGAGGAUUCUAGCAUUUUUGACCUCAGUCAUGAGAAGAGUGAUGAUACUGCUGAGGUGGAGGAAUUGAGAAGGUGACCCAGUCCUGGCAGGAAGACUGCGGCCACGCAGUGGACCUGUCCUGUCAGCAGUGGGAUAUGCGAGAUAUGGGCCGUAAAGAUCUCUCUCAUAGGGUUGGUGUGAGAAAUCAUGGAUUAAGCCUCUGGCACUUCGAGAAAUGGCUACUUUCUCACUUUCUUUAGGUGAGAAAUUAUGGACAGAAGUCAUCCAUUUGAAAUAGGAAAUUUUCUUUGCUUUUCAUUUAUCUGUGGUGUCAAAAAGUGUUGGUCAGUUACUGCUGGUUAGUUACUACUUAUUUCUAAUAUAUAUGUUUUGGUUGUUUUUUGAGACAGAGUCUCACUCUGUUGCCCAGGCUGGAGUGCAGUGGUGGGAUUUCUGCUCACUGCAAACUGCACCUCCCUGGUUUAGGCGAUUCUCUUGCCUCAGCCUCCUGAGUAGCUGGGAUUACAGGUGCCCAUUACCACGCCCGGCUAAUGUUUGUUCAUUUUUAUUAGAGACGGGUUUUUGCCAUGUUGGCCAGGCUGGUCUCGAACUCCUGACUUCAGGUGAUCUGCCUACCUCGGCCUCCCAAAGUGCUGGGAUUAUAGGUGUGAGCCACCGUGCCUGGCCUUAUUAUGUUUUUCAAAUACAAUGGAUGUUGGUUUAAAUAUAAAGUUCCUUAAGUUUGUAUUUGGAUAUAGAGACAAAAUAAUUUACUUUGAAAUGGAAAGAAUUGACUGCAGUAGGGAGUUUGGGCACAUCUCUGCACUGGAAAUUGUCCUUAGGAGACAAAUUUGAUAUACUCAGCUGUGUGCUCUAGCGGUGGAAAACUGAGAAGGCUCCAUCCAUUUCUAGUGAGUGAAUGGAUUUGAUCACUAGUGAGAAGAAUUGCGGAGAUUUUCUGAGAGACUUUCAGCAAUGCAAGAGAACAUAAGGACGUUUUACUUCUAGAUGUGAAGAAAAUGACUGAAACUUUAGAAAUAUGAGACAGAUUUAGUUGAACAUUAGAUUGUUGGGGGGAGUGUAACUUACCAUCAAAAUCCUGUUUAAAUUGCAAAUUUAUAGUGGUUAGAAGCCAUGUGAUGUGUAUCAUACUGCUUUCUAUAUAUGGCAUUCAGUAACUCAGUAUUAAUGUAAAUGAGGAUUAUGACAGUUGUGAUGGAAAAAUUUAAACUUGACAUUCAUUCAGAAUUGUUUGUAGUAUAGCACAAUUACGUAAUUGAGCAAUUAAGAUUCUUUUUCUUACGUUCUCCAGGACUAACAUGUUUCCAGCCAGAGGCAGAUCAGAUGGUUGAAAAAGUGAUCGGAUGAAUGUGGUAGGGGUUUUGGGAGGCAUCUCGAUGGCUGGCCUUGCAGAUUUCUCCUCUCCAUCCAGGCCUGCACCUCUCGCUUCCUCAAGUGGAGAAGGUUCCAGGCCAACGGCCAUCUUCAUUCCUAGCCGGGACUCUUGUCCUGAAUCUCCAUCUGUUCUUCUCCCUUAAUGGGGUGGGUCAGCAGUGGAUGAAGACCCAUCUUAACUCAAGCCCGUAGUAGAAACAGCUGUUAAGUUGCCUCCUGUCAGCAGUGGAUGGGCUGGGUCAGCAGUGGAUGAGGACCCAUCUUAACUCAAGCCCGUAGUAGAAACAGCUUGCCCUAUAGGAUAUUAAAAAAAUAACUUACUCUG